AGUAGGCUUCUCUUCUUGUGACCAGGGGGCAUUAGCCAGGUUCGGACCCUAACCCUAACCCUACCCUGAAGCAUACUUAUGUACAGUCAGGGGGCAUUAGCCAGGUUUGGACCCGAACCCUAACCUACCCUGAUGCACACUUAUGUACAGUCAGGGGGCAUUAGCCAGGUUUGGACCUGAACCCGAACCCUAACCUUACCCUGAAGCAUACUUAUGUACAGUCUAGUUCAUGAAUCUUUUCUCUGGCUUGUCAUGGUUGUCAUGGCAAAGUUGCACUUCCAUCAGGCAGCUCUGGCUGUUCUGCUUCAGUCAUGUUGAUGAUUAAUAAUCUGUUUGUUAUUUAAUUAAGCGCUCCCUGACGCUCACUCCCUGAGUUCUGUGCUGACUGUGAUUUUUGUCAAGGUUUCUUUUGUUUCUUUCAGUCUGUUCUAAUUUAUGGAGUCAAGACUUUGUUCAGUAUUUGUCAGAUGUGCACAGUGUUGAGGACACAUGGCUUUCCUGUAGGUUUGGACCACGGCACAGACAGACAGCCUCUCUUGAAGGCAGCCGCCCUGUGGCACAGACAGCCAGCCUCUCUUGAAGGCAGCCGCCCUGUGGCCUGCACUCUACACACACCUCCGACAGUAACCAUCUGGUUGAGUCUUUAUUUGUUGGUCAUUGAGGACCCACCCUGUUUGGACUAAAGAAGAGAACGUGUCGUUAUUUGGUAAAUUAGCCUGAAAAUGAAAAUACUUUUAAGUAUUCCUGAAUGUCGAAUGUCAUUAUGUAGUGGUUGAGAUCCUCGUGUUGGCAUUGAUUAAGUUACCGCAGCGGAUUCCCUCAGAGGCGAACACUCCCAGCGAACAAACAAGAGGAGAGUUGGUCAGUUUAAGUGCCUGCUUUGUCUCACUCAGAAUAUUUGACUUCUUCUAUAAAUUUCCCUUUUAUUUCUGAGGAGUCUUGAGAAUGAGUUACAACCUGCAGUAUGUGGAGGUCAGAACAUGUCCAGCCUUGAAGACCAAACAGCAAUACAGGAGUACGCGCUGAGCUAAUACAGAAGCUAACUUCAUACGCGCUGAGAUAAUACAGGAGCUAACUUCAUAUGCGCUGAGCUAACUUCAUAAGCGCUGAGCUAAGCUAAUACAGGAGCUAACUUCAUAAGCGCUGAGAUAAUACAGGAGCUAACUUCAUAUGCGCUGAGUUAACUUCAAAUGCACUAAGCUGAUACAGGAGUACGCGCUGAGCUAAUACAGGAGCUAACAUAAUUAGCGCUGAGUUAACUUCAAAUGCACUAAGCUGAUACAGGAGUGUGUGCUGAGCUAACUUUCAGAUGCGUCUGUGAACUUAUAUAGCAAGUAUGACAUCCCACAGGGUCCCCUGCUUCAGUGACUUAGGAAUGGAAUGUGUUGACUGGCAUUAUACGAAUCAAAUUUUGUUAGCACUUUAUAAACUCUCUCUUGCCCAGUUCUUGUUUUAAUUAAAAUAAUAAACAACACCGUAUUUUUCUUCUGUCUUAGUGUUUGUAUGAAUAUAGGUCUGAGUAUUGUGAAGUCGUUUUUUUUCUUCAGAAUCCAAAGAAGUAGUUAAAUUGUCCCCAAACUCACCUCGCGGUCUGGCCUUUGCAGGAGCACGAGACUGGAGGCAGGAUCCGAGUAGGAUUUGCCUCUGUACUCAUUGUUCCGAGCAACUACAUGACUCACUCCCAUUCUGCCAGUCAAAAACAAAGCCGUUUUUUAAACAGUAAUGGACUAAAUGAUCUUCUUUUUUUUUUUUUUUAAGGGCAAUAUUUCCCAGUGUUUAAAAAUAUUUGAUUUAAUUUGCAGUGGAUCUGUAUUUUUGCAGUUUAAUCCUUCGAGGUAUAGCACAUUGUAUGCCGUAUCGUUUGUUAACUGUUUAAAGCAGACUUUAUUAUAUUUCAUUUCUCUAUCACUAGCGUCUAUUGCAAAACAUUGUUCCAUGCGUUAAAGUGUUGUGACAGAGUAUACAGUAUACCAUUUAUUCUAUAUCAACAUUUUUAAAAACAAAAACACCAUUUUUACCAGUAUGGGUAAAGCAAAGUGAUCACGGUAACAUUGUCCAUGACUAAAACUAUCAGCCGGAUAAUGGAAGUACAGUCCUGUUGGAUGUGAUGACCUCAUCUCGACACAUGUAGUUGCAUGAUUUGUAUUAAGUGGCACAGCAGUGCUCCAACCCCACAGUAAACCACUGCCACAGAUUAUUCUAGAUUAUUCUAAAUCCAGUCAUUGCAGCCCUACAUUAGACGUACGUACUGUACAUGAUCAGCACUGCAUAUCCCCCAUGUUCAGAUGUGUGAAUCACUACUUACAGAUGUGUACAAAUGCAGUUUGACAUGUAUGAUAUGGCGACACUAGAAGGGCUUGGCGAGAACGCUAAGAACCCAGAGGAAUGCAGGGUUCUUCAUGGGACUGUAACGUUUAGAACCCAGAGGAAUGCAGGGUUCUUUAUGGGACUGUACCGUUAGGAACCCAGAGGAAUGCAGGGUUCUUCAUGGGACUGUACCGUUAGGAACCCAGAGGAAUGCAGGGUUCUUCAUGGGACUGUACCGUUAGGAAUCCAGAGGAAUGCAGGGUUCUUUAUGGUACUGUACCGUUAGGAACCCAGAGGAAUGCAGGGUUCUUUAUGGUACUGUACCGUUAGGAACCCAGAGGAAUGCAGGGUUCUUCAUGGGACUGUACCGUUUAGAACCCAGAGGAAUGCAGGGUUCUUUAUGGGACUGUAACGUUUAGAACCCAGAGGAAUGCAGGGUUCUUUAUGGUACUGUACCGUUAGGAACCCAGAGGAAUGCAGGGUUCUUCAUGGGACUGUACCGUUAGGAACCCAGAGGAAUGCAGGGUUCUUCAUGGGACUGUAACGUUUAGAACCCAGAGGAACGCAGGGUUCUUCAUGGGAUUGUAAAAUAGGAUUGUCCAGUGGAGCAGGUUGGGUUGUCUUCCUCAUACUGCAUUGGGUUUGGGCUCAGUCAGACCGGGCCAGAUAGCGUCCCCAAUGUGGAGGGACCGCCCAUCUCCUGGUCAGAACAGGGCCGUAUCAGAACCCCCCAAUCCACCGCUGGUUGGGUUCCAUCAACCACUUCUACUCUUAAGAGCAGCAGAACUUCUGCCGUGACGUUUUUUCAAAAGUAAAAAAAAAGCACAGAAAAAAAUUGCUGUUGUAGUAAUUGUUUGUCUAUUCCCUGAUGCUGUAUGUUGUUUUGUUUGUGUAUAUGUUUUUGUAGUGUAAUAUAUGAAAUUUUAUAUAUUUUUAAUAAAUGUGAG
ensembl:lncRNA